AUUGAACGCUGGCGGCAUGCCUUACACAUGCAAGUCGAACGGCAGCGGACCUUCGGGUGCCGGCGAGUGGCGAACGGGUGAGUAAUAUAUCGGAACGUACCUUUCAGUGGGGGAUAACGUAGCGAAAGUUACGCUAAUACCGCAUAUUCUGUGAGCAGGAAAGCAGGGGAUCGCAAGACCUUGCGCUGAUUGAGCGGCCGAUAUCAGAUUAGCUAGUUGGUGAGGUAAAGGCUCACCAAGGCGACGAUCUGUAGCGGGUCUGAGAGGAUGAUCCGCCACACUGGAACUGAGACACGGUCCAGACUCCUACGGGAGGCAGCAGUGGGGAAUUUUGGACAAUGGGCGCAAGCCUGAUCCAGCCAUGCCGCGUGAGUGAAGAAGGCCUCGGUUGGUAAGUACGUACUUUCGGUCCGGGUACGGAAAGUACGACACGGGUUAAGUACCGUACGUGUGGUAGUGACGGUACCGGAACGUAAGAAGAC
rnacentral:rRNA from 1 species